rnacentral:rRNA from 1 species
AUUGAACGCUGGCGGAAUGCUUUACACAUGCAAGUCGAGCGGCAGCGCGGGGGCAACCCUGGCGGCGAGCGGCGAACGGGUGAGUAACAUAUCGGAACGUACCCCGUCGUGGGGGAUAACACAGCGAAAGCUGUGCUAAUACCGCAUACGACCUGAGGGUGAAAGCGGGGGAUCGCAAGACCUCGCGCGAUGGGAGCGGCCGAUAUCGGAUUAGCUUGUUGGUGAGGUAAAGGCUCACCAAGGCGACGAUCCGUAGCUGGUCUGAGAGGACGACCAGCCACACUGGAACUGAGACACGGUCCAGACUCCUACGGGAGGCAGCAGUGGGGAAUUUUGGACAAUGGGGGCAACCCUGAUCCAGCCAUUCCGCGUGAGUGAAGAAGGCCUCGGUUGUAAG